CAGAGUAGACAGUCGAGCGUUAAGUGCCGACCGGACGGGGAGUUGCCGGUGGGACGAAAAGCAAAACACGAAAGCAAGGGUUUUUAAAAUAAAGUGUUUUCUUGCGGUUCGGCGGUCGCAUCCCGCUG
rnacentral:ncRNA from 1 species